UCGAGAAUCUUCGGCAAUGGGCGCAAGCCUGACCGAGCGACGCCGCGUGGAGGACGAAGGCCUUCGGGUUGUAAACUCCUGUCGAGGGGGAAGAAGGGCCGUAAGGCCUUGACUGAUCCCUGGAGGAAGCACGGGCUAAGUUCGUGCCAGCAGCCGCGGUAAGACGAACCGUGCGAACGUUAUUCGGAAUCACUGGGCUUAAAGCGCGUGUAGGCGGGGCGGAACGUCGGAUGGGGAAAGCCCCCGGCUCAACCGGGGAAGUGGCACCGAGACGACCGCCCUCGAGGGACGUAGGGGGACCUGGAACUUCCGGUGGAGCGGUGAAAUGCGUUGAGAUCGGAAGGAACGCCCGUGGCGAAAGCGAGGUCCUGGACGUUUUCUGACGCUGAGACGCGAAAGCCAGGGGAGCGAACG
rnacentral:rRNA from 1 species